GACAUGUGUAUACGUGCACAGAUGGUGACAGAGAAACUUAUAUAUGACGUUAAUAAUCUUUUAAAUGUUUUUAAGACGUAUUCACCCCAUUUUGGGGUUUUAUUUUUAAUUAAAGGCUUCUUAAAACAUGUGUGAAUAUGUGUAUAUUAUACAAAGAGUCUUAUAUUGUCUGCUCUGACAAAAAUAAAGUAUUUUUUUAGGUUUAGGGGAAUUGACUGCGUGUGUCUUAUAAAUACAACUUGAUAAUACGUUUGUUUUGUAAAGAGACUUCUUUAAAGUCACGCAAGAAUAAAAUAUUUUAGUUGUAACUGGUUAAACUUAAAGCCGAUAUUUUCUAUCGAACUAGUCUAUUUUCUGUUCAGACACAAAGUUUUCUGAUGCUGAUAUUAUGUCAGUGUGUGUUUGUGUGGGGGUCGUGUGAUGUAAUCUUUGAAAGUUUAUGACCGAACCUUUAUUGGGGAGCGACAAGAGAUCUCCCGGAAUCAGUUUGGAUGGAGCAGAGCUGUUAUACUCAAGUCUAUUGGUAUGUAUGUGUUUCGCUAUGUUCGUUCCAGUAUUUUGUAUGAUUUAUUUAAAAACUAAAAAUUCGAUCUCUGGUAUUGCAGCGAAAUUGUCUAAACUGGUAUUAACUAUUCCUGGUAAAUCGCGGAGAAGAGUGGCCUGAACAAAAAAGUCAGACCGAGACUAGAACCUCCCGCAGCGUAACACGGAAAUCUUGGAACAAAAGAGACGCCGACUGGCUCGUGUUGUCCGGUUUGGAUAUCAGAGGCAAAGCGAACGUUGUGUGUACUAUUGCAAAAUAUAUAGCGGAUCUCCACGGUACGUUUAUCUUGCAUAAGAAAAUUGUUUUAUUUAGAUAUUUGUCCUAAUAACUUGUUUUUAUCUGUUUACAGGCUAGGAUACAGACCACAACACUUUGGACGUAUCUUUAAAAAAGAUUAAAAUCAGAGACUUUUUGGAUUUGUCUGGGGACAUUUUAAACAUUUUGUGGCAAAUUGGAUUUAAAACAUUUCGGAUACUGGAUACCUAGUUUGAUUUGUCCACAGAGCUUGUUUAAGACGUUUUCACCGCAUUUUAGGGUUUAUUUUUAAUUAAAGGCUUCUUAAAACAUGUGUGAAAAUGUGUAUAUUAUACAAUGAGUCUUAUAUUGUCUGCUCUGACAUAAAUAAAUUUUUAUAUUAGAUUUUA